UACGUAGGGGGCAAGCGUUGUCCGGAUUCAUUGGGCGUAAAGAGCGUGUAGGCGGCCAGGUAGGUCGGUUGUGAAAACUGGAGGCUCAACCUUCAGACGUCGACCGAAACCAUCUGGCUAGAGUCCGGGAGAGGAGAGUGGAAUUCCUGGUGUAGCGGUGAAAUGCGCAGAUAUCAGGAAGAACACCGGUGGCGAAGGCGGGUCUCUGGGCCGAAAACUGACGCUGAGGAGCGAAAGCGUUGGGGAGCAAACAGG
rnacentral:rRNA from 1 species